rnacentral:lncRNA from 1 species
UAAAGUGACUCUUGAUUAUUCUUAUGAUUGUUGGAGUCACUUUAAUCUCCGUAAAAAUACUAUAUUGUAAUUACAAUGCAUAACAAAACUCAUAUUCAUAAUUAUUUAAGCAAUAUAAUGAAAUAUUAGGCAUAUCGAAAUUACCUAACUUUAAGAGGACUAAAACGUAUACGUCAAUCUAGACCAGUAAGAGUGGGUAAGCCUACAUUGGGCCCUUGACCCCUCAACUAUGGUGUCGAGCAAGAGGUACCUUCACCUCAAUCAUUAACAAUAGAUGUACCAGCUUCUGGUGUCAAAGCUAAUUGAGGUUGCACCAAUAAUGAUUGAGUCGCUGAAUUAGUGGAUGGUGGUACUUAAAGAUCCACCGUCGAAGUGGAUGUUGCCAACAUUGGUGAUUAUGUAAGCUACAGCUACUCAUUCGAACUUUGUGCAGCACUCAACUAUCCUCAAUGUUCGCUAUGCUUAACUUUAACCAUGACUGGAUAAUCAGUCAUUGAAGGAAAAAUAAUUCAUGAGGAAAUUCAAAUAGUAUUAGGGAAAACACGAAAAAUAACAUAUCCAACAAUUCAUAAACAAUUCAUGCAAAACAAUGUGGUAGCUUGUAAAGAUAUUAGCACAUAGACAUAUAUCCAACAAGAAAAAAAAAAUUAGCAACUCAAACAAACGAGAAAAUUGUACAGUAUAUUCCACCAAACACAUUUGUCAACCUUUUCAAUGCAAAUUAAAUUGAAGAAAAUAUAGUAUAUGCAAUAGGCUUCAAAGAAACGUAUACUUGGUUUAAGUUGGCCAUGAAGCAGACAGAUAUGGAUGUAAGUACAUGCAUGUCUAAUGGAUUUAAACUGUGCUCGCUGGGUUUUUCACUUACACACUAGAAAUGUAGUAACAUUAACUAUUAGUGGUAUUGAAGAAGACACAUAGGAAGAUUGAUGGAGCACAUUAUGCGAAGAUGAUAACACAUCAAACAAAUAUCUUUCACAACUGACCAUUUUUCAUCAAAUUGCAUUUGCUUAUAGAAAAUCCAAAAUGACAUCAAAUAAACCAAAAUAAAAUGCAAGAUUAACUUGUUGGAAAAAGAAACUUAAGGGGAACUAGAUGAGGUUCAGUGUUGUUAAAGAGAUGCAAGUUUCCUUUUUGAAGGAAAAGUAUAUUAAAAUGUAUAAAAUGUAAUCACAAACUGCAUAGGCUCAAAAUAAAGGGAAACAAGGUUACUAGGGAGAGAAAAAGAGUUGAGCUUUGAUUGGGAAUCUUGAAGGCAAGAAACAGAAAUGGGCAAAUUUGGUAGCUGAAAGAAAGAGGUUUCUUUAAGAUGUUGGGCAAGUCUAAUACCAAAGAUCGAUAGAAAAGAUACGUAACAAUUUUGUUUUGCAAUUUCAGUUUUGGAAGUUGAGUUAAGGUGGAGAUUGCGGCAAAAGGAUGAGUUCCAUGAGAUUCUUGUCAUUAGUUGAGGUCCAUUGGACAAUUUGCAGAUGAGCUAGUGGAAGCUAAAGGUGAGGCAACUAAGGUAAAAGAAAAGGCUAGUAGGAAAAUGAAAUAGGGAAGCCCUAAACUAAUUUUCUGUUUGUGUUUAUGCAUUUCUUUUUCAUUCAAUAUAAAUAAAUUUUCUUGUUUGGGUUUUGGUUUAUGAGGAAAGGAAAGAUUUUGUAUACACUGAUACCCAGUGAUAGAUAAAUAGAUAGAUAGAUAGAUAGGUGACCCCUGCUCUAGCAUUCUGCUCAACAUGGUGGCAUGCAAUGAUAUCCAUAUCAUCAAAAAAAAAAAAUCAACAAGAAAGCACCCCUGCACAUAAACAAAUUUUGCAAAAAAGUAACACCCUUGCACAUAUACUAAUUCUGCAUUGAGAUAAGAGAUAUUAAAUCCAUACUCUUUAAACUACUAUUAAUUAGAUAAGGAAUAAAUUUAUUGAAGUGUUAGUUUGGUCAACUUCACAAAACUAUCAUAAAAAGUUCGAAUUGAUUUUUAAUAAUUGAUGUUACAAAAAAUGAACAUGCAAUUUAUUCUAUAUUUUUAAUUAGACAAACAAGUCAUAUUGAGAAAUGACAAAUAUCAACUAUUCAAAAACCAAAGACAAACAAAAAUGAAAAACCAAAAGGAAUAGUACAUUGAUAAAAUACUUUCACACAAAUUUAGAAAGAGAGCACUUAAAUAAUAAAAAAAUUAUAAAAUAGUACUAGUUGAGCAUACUAAGUAGAUUCUAGUUAUUUAACAUUGUCAAUAGUUUUUCAUUGAGAAUAUGUGUUUAGUGAUUAACAAAACAACUAAAUGCAUUGAGGAAAAAAAAUAAAUUUUAUUUUAAAAAUAUUCAUUAGUUUAUCAAACAAUUAUAAGCAUUGAUAUAUAUAUAUAUAUAUUUCAAAAGUUUCCUCAAACUUUUUCAACAACAAUUAAACAUUGUCCUGUAUUUAAUUACUGGGAUUACUAACAGGCAUGGUUCAAUACUUUCCUUUUUAACAAUAAACAUAACCGACAUUCUUGGUUAAUGUUUUUUAAAUUUGGAAGCAAAUAUAAAUUUUUCGCAUGGUUUUCACAUUGGUGGAAUUGGUUUGGUUCUUUAAGGGAGAUACUUCCCUAAAAAAUUGAUAAUUUAUAUAAAAAAAUUUCUGAUAAGUUCCAACCAGAACCAAACUAGCAAAACUUACAUGUUUCAAUACAUUUUUCCUCCAAAUUGACUUUACCAUGGAUCACAUCAUGGGAUUACGCCUAUGAUACUGACCCCCACUCUGGAGCACUAGUAGUCACCAAAAUUUUCAAGAUUAAAUGGUGGGAGAAAUUCGAUGAACGAAAAUAUGACAACCACUUCCUCGAAGCAUGGUUCGAGAAAAACCCAAAACUCUGCAAAAAUGCCCAAGUAUCACAGAAAAAUGCAAGAUUCCUCCAGGCCAAGUCCAAUGCAAGCGCAUUACUUGCUCAGGUAAAAACCAAGAUGAAGUAUAAGAGAAUAAUGGCAGAAAUGCUCAGCUCUUUCGACUUUGAUAAAGAACAUGAACCAGAAGAUACUGCUUCAUCCAAAGAAACAACAGAUCUUACUCAAGACGAAGACUAUAUUCCUCUAAGAAGAAAGAAAUGAAGAAACAGCCAAAAAGCAACUAAAAGCACUAUGAAAAAGCAAUGUCGACCAAAACAACCAAAAACAGAAGAAUAAACCAAAAAUAGCCGAAAGCACUCUGAAAAAGCAGUGUCGACCAAAACAGCCCAAAAGUAGAAGGAUCCAUAAAAAGCAACUGAAAGCAUUUUGAAAAGCAAAAAAAAACAAGUUCACAAGCCAAACAGUGAAAGCAGCGGCCAAAAGCAAAUUCAAAUGUAAUGAAAAUAUAAUGAAAAUUCACAUGUAAAUGUAAAAUCUACUGCCUAUAUAAAGGCUCAGAUUUAAUAUCAGAGCAAGAGUCCCUUAAGACCAAAAACUUUAAGUCUAUGAAAGUUUUAAACUUUCUCCAAAACCCUUUUUAAUAUUUGUAUCCCAAUUAUCCAUUUCUAAUAAAAUAUUUUCAUUAAAAUAUUUUUCGGUGCCGAUCUUAGUCGCUUUUAGUAUUAGAGCCAUACCGGAACAAAAGGUAUUUAUUUUAAGAUUCAAGUAUUUUGCUACUUUCACUUUGUUUUCUGAGUUUUGGUUUUAACUGAUUGGUUGGUGCUAUAUUAAUUCUUGCUGAGUUAUUGGGAAAUCAGUCUAUUGAGUUGUGGGUUAGGCGUUUUAGGACACAGUUUUACCCCUAUACGCAGAAGAAAUAUAUUAUCACCAGAACAGUAGAAACCCCAUAUGUAGGAAAACAAUUUGAUAAAACAAGAUGCUUCCAUUUUUAAGAACUACUUUUUGUUCUUGUUCAAACUCUAACCAAACCCAAACCGUCAACGAGAAAAAUAUUCAUUAUGAAAAUAUUAUACAAGAAAUAGAUAAUUGGGAAAUUUCAAAAGUUCCUCAAAAACAAAUUUAUAAAUCUUCAACAUUUCAUUCUCUUUAUUUAAAUUCCUUUUGUGGGUAUUUAAUCAAAACUAAAGAAAAAUGAAUACCCAUCCAAAAUCAGUAUGAAAAUAUCCAAUUACUGGAUCAAGAUACAAUCCAAAAACUUAGAAGUCAAAAGUAUAAUUAUAUACACUAUGGAUUAGUACAAAUAGGAAUUGAUGCUGCAAAGUCUUAAAAGUGUGUAAUAUACAUUUUCAAGUAGCUUUUUAAAGUGUAUAAUUAUAUACACUUUUAAUUCUUGUAUGUCUUUGUGAUCCAGAAAAAGAUGUAAUAUUACAAGAAUAUUACAGUUUUAUGAACAAAUACAAAAUCUUAAUAGAAUUCUUUGAAUAGUUUGAAAAUCAUUAUAAACCAGUAUCAAUAAAUACUAUAAAAAACACUAAUAAAUGGCAAGCUAAUAAAGGUGAAAUUGAAUCUCAACAUCCUCCUUUGACAAAAAUUCAAUAUUCUCACAAAAAUAUAAGAAUAAAGGCAACUCCGUUAAGAAUGAGAGCAUCAGACUUAAGAGAAGCUGUUUCCUUAAGAGAUGUAAAAAUGAUAAUUGAACAAAAUAAUUACACAAAUUUAAAUCUACAUACCAUUUCAAAACAACUAGAAAACAUAGAAACUAUGGUUGAAAACCAACCCAAAAUCAUGCAAGACUUGCCAACAAAAACACAAAAUAUUAAGACUGCAGAACUAGUUUUUAAACCCUUUGAAAGUCCAAAAAGAUAUCAUCAAGAACAAUAAAAUCAGUUCUUAAAAGAAAUAUAGGAUCGAAUUGAUGUUUUAGAAAGCUAAAAUUCAGGAAUAGUAAUUCCAGAAACACCAACACAACAAUCCCACACAAUUAAUAUGAUAGAUGACCAAAUAGACUCACAAAGUUAUUCAGAAGAAUCUGAUAACCAACAAAUUAAUAAAGUGAUUUGGAAAGAAUCUCAAAAAUAUUAUUAUCCGAAAAUAACAACACCAGACUUAAAUAUGGAAGAAAAACCCAUAUUUCAAAAUAAAUACAAUGCCAAUACUAUUUAUGAGUGGAAUAUUGAUGGUAUGUCUGAAUAUAAUAUCCUUAGUACACUCCAACAAAUGACAAUGGUUUCAAAUGUAUACAAAACUCAAAACCAAACUGGUCAAAUUACAGAUCAUGCUAUAGCAAAGCUUUUAGCUGUUGGAUUCACAAGACAAUUAAAAGGAUGGUGGGAUAACUAUCUUACAGCAAACCGACAACAAGAGAUAUUAAAAGCUACAAAAAAAAAUAAUGAUGGUCAUAGUAUUUUAGACAACCAUGGAAGAGAAAUUCAAGAUACUGUUGCCACCCUCAUUUUCUCAAUAUCAAAACACUUUAUAGGAGAUCCUUCUCAUCUUAAAGACAAAAAUUCUGAAUUAUUAUCAAAUUUAAAAUGCAAAAAAUUAACAGAUUUCAAAUGGUACAAAGACAUGUUUAUGACAAGAGUAAUGCAAAGAUUUGAUAAUAAUCAACCUUCUUGGAAAAAAAAAUUUUUAACUGGACUUCUUACUUUAUUAGGAAAGAAAGUUAGAAAUCAAAUAAAAGAAACUUACAAAGGUAUACUACCUUAUGAAAAUCUUACAUAUGGUGAACUCAUAAGUUUCACUCAAAAAGAAAGGUUAAAAAUCUGCCAAGAUUUAAAACUCCAAAAACAAAUUAAAAAAGAAAGAAAAUUGUACACUAAGAAUUAUGAUAAUUUUGCUAACAAUUUGACAUUAGAAAUGAAUAUUCUUCAAAACCUUGUUGCUCUGCAAAACCAAAACAAAGAACAUCAUCAAUGUAUACUAUUGUGAAUUGCGAACAUUACAGUUUGAGUGAAACACCAAGACUUCUUUUUAUGAACUAUUCUUGAAUAUUUUUGUAAUAUUUCAUCUUGUAAUAUUCUUUUUAUGAAGUCUUCAAAACCCUAAUACUAUGCAAGAUAUGGUGGGAUCUUGUAUUUAUGAAGAUUCUGAGAUGUUUGUAAUGGUUUUCUAGAUUUCCUGAGAAAAUUAGAACAUCAUCAAUGUAUACUAUUGUGAAUUGGGAAUAUCAGUUGAAUAUUUCAUUCAUUAUUUUUUGAAAUUUUGAUGGGGCAUUUUUUAAUCCAAAAGGCAUAACAUUCCAUUCAUAUUGUCCAAAAGAGACUGUGAAUGCUGUUUUAUACCUUUCGGUUUUUUUGAUUUGGAUUUGCCAAAAUCCUGAUUUCAUGUCAAAUUUUGAGAAGAUUUUUGCAUUACAAAGUUUUUGUAAUAAAUCUUUUUUAGUUAGAAUUGGAUAUUUGAUCCAUUCUAAUGUUUUGUUUAGAUGUUUAUAAUUGAUUACUAGUUUUGGUGUUCCUCUUUCAAUUUCUGCAUUUUUGAUUACAUAAAAAGCAGAGCAGCUCCAAAGAGAGUUACUCUUUAUGAUGAGUUUUUUAUUUAAUAAAUCUUGAAUUUUUUUCUGCAAUAUUCUUCCAUUUCUUUAUUCAUUUGGAUAGCUCUGGCUUUUGUAGGGAUAUGUUUUUCAUUGAAAUCUUUUGCAUAAGGUAAUGUUACCUCAUGUUUUUUCAUAUUCCAAAAUGCAUUAGGGAUAUUAGAACAAAUUGAGUUUUCUAUGUUAUUUUUUAUUUGGUUUAUUUUUUCUUUAAUUUCAUCUGUUAUUAAUUGUUGGUUUAUUCUUUCAAAGGAAAUUUCAUUUUUUAAAUAGGUGAUUUGGUUUUGUUUGUAAUUAAUUAGCAUAUUGAUUUCAUCUGUGUGUAUUGAUAAUGAUUUUAAUAAAUUGAUAUUUUUAAUUCUUGGUUUUUCUAUGAAAGGAAAACUGAUUUUAGUUUUUAGUAUCUUGGUAGUUAUUGCUUGAUGAGUGACUUUGUAAGGUUUUAAUAUUGAUAUAAAUGGUGUACCUAAAACAACAUCUUGAGUUAUAUUUUUGACCAUUAAAAAGGGUGUUUUGAAUUUAAUUCCUUGGUUGCAAAUUUCUGCUUUUGAUAUUUUAUAUGUGAUUUUGAGUUUUCCACCAUUAGCCAUUUUGAGUCCUUCUAUUGUUUUGUCAUAAUAUUUUGUCGGUAUUAAUCCCUUCCUUAUAUAAUUUUGAUCUGCACCUGUGUCUAAUAGUGCUAUUGUUUCUAGUUGGAACUCAUUAUUAAUUGGGAGUUUUAUUUUUAUUAAAUAUCUUUGGAUGGAUACUUCAGUGAGAACCUUCAUAUAUUCUUGCGUGUUCUGAAUUUUUUGGUUUUAGGUGUCUGAAAAAAAUUGUUCAUUUGGGGUUUCUGUAUUUUUGAAAAUUUCAAUAUGUUGUUUAAUGCUUUGUUGUUCUUUUUUGAGUUUGGAGAUUUCUUGUUUUAUGAUUUUUAUUUCUGAAUGUAAUUCUGUUUUGGUUAUCUUUUUUGGUUUUGUGUUUUCAUAUUUAUCGAAUAUAAUGUUUUUAAUGUUAUAGAUUGGUUCAUGAUUUAACAAGUUAGCUUUUUUAGGUUUUUCUUUUAUUGAGUCUUUUAGCUUUUCAAGAUAUUCAUUCUUUAAAACUGGGUCUUUUAUUUUGUCAAUAAUUUCAAUCAUAAAUUCUUGGUCUUUUGUUAGUACAUGAAUUAGAUUUUUACUUUCUUUUGAAGAUUGGGAUGUUGUUUGUAUUUCAUCUAUUUGUAGGUUUUCUGAAGAUGCACUGUUUGUAAGUGUCACUAUCGGAUGUAGAUUCUAAGAGUAUUUCAUUGAGUUUUUGUUCAAUCUCUUCUCCUAAUUGGAGUUGAUUAAUUUUUCUUUUUAUUUUACAAUAUUUUGAGAUGUGACUAGUUUUUCCACAUCUAAAACAUUUUAUUGUUUUAUCUAUUUUAACUGGUUCUUUUUGUUUUUGUUUUGUUUUCCUAUAUUUUUUGUAUUUUGGAAUCUUAUAGUAAUUUGGAAGGUUGUUCUUAUGCCUUCUUUGUUUUGAUUUUGCAGAGCAACAGGGUUUUGAAAGAAGAUUCAUUUCUAAUGUCAAAUUGUUGACAGAAUGAUCCUAAUUCCUUGGCGUAUAAUUUUUUGAAAUUUGUUAAUAUUUUCAUAAUGAAUAUUUUUCUCGUUAACGGUUUGGGUUUGGUUAAAGUUUGAACUAGAACAAGAAGUAGUUCUUAAAAAUGGAAGCAUCUUGUUUUAUCAAAUUGUUUUCCUAAAUAGGGGAUUUCUACUGUUCUGGUGAAAAGUUGUGUCCUAAAAUGCCUAACCCAUGGCUUAAUAGAUUGAUUUCUCAAUAACUUAGCAAGAAUUAAUAUAGUACCAGCCAAUCAGUUAAAACCAAAACUCGAAAAACAAAGUGAAAGUAACAAAAUACUUGAAUCUUAAAGAAAAUAUUCUUUGUUCUUGUGUGGCUCUGAUACCAAAAGCGAUCAAGAUUAACACCGAAAAAUAUUUUAAUGAAAAUAUUUUAUUAGAAAUGGAUAAUUAUGAUACAAAAUAUUAAAAAGGGUUUUGGUGAAAGUUUAAGACUUUCCCAAACUUAAAAUUUUUGGUCUUAAGGGACUCUUGCUCUAAUAUUGAAUCUGAGCCUUUAUAUAGGCAGUAGAUUUUACAUUUAUAUGUGAAUUUUUAUUUCAUUUUCAUUACAUUUGAAUUUGCUUUUGGCCAUUGCUUUCACUGUUUGGUUUGUGAACUUGCUUUUUUCUGCUUUUCAAAAUGCUUUCAGCUGCUUUUUAUGGAUCCUUAUACUUUUGGGCUGUUUUGGUCGACACUGCUUUUUUAGAGUGUUUUUCGCUAUUUUUGGGGGAUUCAGACACAGUUUUCCCCCUGUAGGCAGAAGAAAUAUAUUAUCACCAAAACAGUAGAAACCCCUUAUGUAGGAAAACAUAUAUAUAUAUAUACAUAAAAGAGUGGCAUAUCUCUUUAUUGACUUGUAAUUUAUGAGGGGUUUGUUUUUUGUUUUUCGUGUAGAUUGUUUCAUAAACUAAUUAGUCAAAUAUUUUAAUAUACAUUGAUUUUACAUUUUUAAUAUAAAAAUGUGAUUGCAUAAAGUUUUCUUUGGACAAAUGGUUUAAAUUAAUUCUUUUCAAAAAUGAAAGUAUUUAGAAGUUCUACAUUCCGAUAUCUCAAGGUGAUAGUAUAUAUUUAUGUUUAAGAUUAACAAUUUCAAAUAGAGCAAGUCAACAAUUGGUUUCAAUCUUGCAUGCUAGGGUUUUCUUAAAAUUUGUAAGGCUAGUCUUUAGAGAAAUUUAUGUGUAGUUUACUUGAUGGGAGCAUUACAGAAACCAAGAAACAUAUCAACAUUCAAGAAUUGACAAACGAGAAGGAGAUAUUGUAAAUAUUUAAUAAAAUUUCUAUGACAUGCAAGCAUUCAUUACACAAAUUCUUAAUCACCAUCCAUUCAUUCGUUGCAGAAACUACAACAUAAAGAUGCAAACAGUAUCAGAAAUAACACAAGUAAGAAAUUACCAUAGGGAUAGGGAUGCUUGGUUGACGGUUGGGUAGGGUGGGUUAGCGAUGGGGGAAAGUGGGUAGGCAGUAGAGAUGCUUAAGGGGUC